UUCUCAUUCCUCUGACACAGUAACUGACAACUUUUAGAUCGUGCUCUUUUUCUCUUUGUGCUCUGAAAUUUCCAGACUAAAGGUUUAGCAUAUCAAUUGCCUUGUCACAACGACAAAAGCCACCACAGCCGGUUCUGGUAUCCAGAUGGUGCCUUUUCCCCACCAGUUGCCAGGCACCAUUGUUGGAGAAUGAGAAAAAGAAAUGUGCUUUUCCUUCGCUGGAUUAGGAUUUUCACCAGAAACUUUAUCUGGGAAGUACUACAUAUGUGUUAAAGGAGGAAGCAAAACCUCAUAGAGGUGGUAGGGUUUAGCAGGUCCACUGGGCAAGAAGUCUCUCUGUCUUGUGACAAUUGCAUUUCAAUUAUCCUGACUUAAAGAUAAGACUGAGAUCUAACAGUUGGUGAUGAAAGAAGAACAUAUGCAAUUUAACUCAACUGGAUUCAUAAAAUAUGCACUGGAACACCGUGUCUGUCAUGUAUCUUGUCCAAUCAAAGAGCUGCUAGCCAUUUCUUUUAGUUUGCCACAUCUAUCAUCUCUUUAAUUUCUGAGCUGUCCAGGAUCAUCACAGGAUCCAGGAAGAAUUUCCUUUAUCUACAAUAUUACGAAUAUUUCUGUUAACUCUCAGAAGACAAUCACUUAAAUAUUUUUUAAGAUUCAUUUUAUCUAUUUGAAAGACAUUUUUACAGAGAGAGGAAGAGACAGAGAGGUCUUCUAUCCACUGGUUCACUCCCCAGAUGGAAUGCUUUCUUGCAGAUUAUUAAACACAAAUAUGCUGGCUUAUAGACAUUACAUUUUUUUAAAGAUCCGGUGAACUUUGAUGGGCCGAAUCUUACAGUUAGGAAACAGAGACAGUCAACACAACUUAUUGUUCCCCAUAGCAAAAUAGGCAUAAAACUACAUUGCAGUUAUAUUGCUAAUUUUGUCUCCUAUUCUCCAAAUUCAUUUUUCCAAAAAGAUUUAUUUAUUUAUUGAAAGUGAAAUUUACACACAGAGAGAGAGAGAGAGAGAGAGAUCUUCUGUUUAGUGAUUUGCUUCCUAGAUGGCUGCAACAGCCAGGGUUUGGCCAAGCCAAAGCCAUUUUCCAGGAGCUUCAUCCAGAUUUCUCACAUGGGUAUCUCACAGGGGUCCAUACAUUUGGCCCAUCUUCUGCUGCUUUUAUCAUACCAUUAAUAGGGAGCUGGAACAGCUGGGACUUGAACCAGUGCAUAUAUGGUAUGCUGGCAUCACAGGUGGAAGCUAUAUAUGCCAUGCCACAAUGCUGGUCCCUAUACUCCAAGUUCUAAAGUUGAAAGGGACUAUCAUUUUUAUUACUCUUGGAUCCCUUAAAUGAGGUGAUCUUUCUCUGGCACAUGAUAAAAUAUCUAUUGUUGAGUGAAUUUGAAAGAUAAAGAUAAAAAAAAUAAAAAUAGAUAUGGAGAGUAUUGCUGGGAUAGAAAGUCAACUUUCUGUAAUACUUCAAUGAGUUGGCUUAAAAAAUUAACUUUAUUGCCCAAUCCUCAUUCCUAAUCAAUUUGAAAUGGCACAAAGAAGAUGAAAGGAAGGGAAAGGUAUAUUCUUAUGUCUGGUAAUAUCAUACCAUGAAAUCUUGCUCAGAAUAUUACUUCUUUCUCAAAUGCAGCCCACUUUUGUCCUUGAAGUUCUUCUCUAAAUGCUGCAUUAAAUCACUGAGGGUACAGAUACUGGUACUAAUAAGAGUGAUUCUCUAUUUCUUCAACCAGCAGACCUAUCAUAAUGACUGAUAAAGGAAAUUUCAAGUUCCCAUCAAAGAAUAUCAAAUCUAUUCAGAAUAUAUGGUUUCUUGGAGAAUCAAAGGAAAAUGGCUUCAUCCUUAGGGCAUUCUCAGGAAAGCUGCUAUGCUCCUACUACUGGGCCAGUUACCCUUACUAGGACCCCCUUAGUAAGUCAUACACCCUCUCAUUUUCCCAUAACACUGUAUUUUAAUUGCCUAUGCACUUAUUCAUCUUUUCUAUCUAGGCUUAGUUUACAUUGUGAAAAAGAGCCUGUUUGCCUUGCUUGAUGUUUCAUUCCUUGUGCUCAACUUGAUGUCUGAAAUAUAAUAUGAGGGGAGGGAAGGCAGGAAAGUAACAGAUUUAGAAAUAAUGAAUUUUCUGUAAACCAGUCCUAGUACAUUAUGGUUUAAGUAUUUCUCCUAAAAUAUUGAUUAACAAGAAAGUCCUAACCUGUUCGGAAAACAAAAAGCUAUUUAGCAAGAGAAAAUAGCAAUUCCACAGAUCUUUGAACCAUCCUUGACACUAUGAUUAGCCUUGUUUUUCCAUGCCCAUCUGUCUUAUGUUGGAUGACAAUGGAUUUAAUGACCUCAGCUAUAAGUUACUGCUCUGCUCCAUGGAUAUCUAAUCACCAUAGCCCAAUGUGAAGAUAGCCCUUGUCCUUACGAAGUAUGGUGCACUGCCUUGAUUUGUAUUAUGUUUACUUGACGCCUUUUCCUUGGUUGACACUGUGCUUUUUGGACUACAUUGGUUUUGUGUCUCUUCGGUCAUCUGAGAGAGUUUAACUGGCUUGUGCCCUAUGGGACUUGUUAUUCAUCCAGUGCAGACUGUUUCUGUCUACUUACUACUGCAGAUUACACCUAUGUCUUAUUGCUCAUACUAACUGAUGUCAGGUAUCUUGUUAUAUAUUGCUACAUUAUUCUUUCAGUGGUUAGGAAUAGGCACCCAAUAUGUUGAAAAAUGAUUAAAGCCAUAAAGGUACAGGGCUUGUAUUGGGGAACAGGGGGUUCAGACACCACUUGGGACGCCUAUAUCCCUUAUUGGAGUACUUUGUUCAUAUCCCAGUUACUCUACACUUCCUAUCCAACUUCCUGGUUAUGUGUCUGGGAGACAUAGGAUGAUGGCCCUCGUGCUUGGGUUCCUGCAAUGUGAAAAACCAGGAUGAAGUUCCUGGUUCCUGGUUUGGUAUAGUCUAGCCCUGACUAUUUGACUCAUUUGGGGAGUGAAUCAACAGAUAGAAAAAUCCAUCUCUCUCUCUUCAUCUGUCCAUCUCUUUCUCUCUCUGUCAAACUGCCCUUCAAAUAAAUCAAUAAAUAAGUAAACAAAUAAAUAACUCUCUUUUGAAAAGUAAAAGGAUCUACCACCCACAUGGGAGACCCCAAUGAAACUCCAGGCUUGUGGCUUCAGACUGGCCCAGUGCAGGCCAUUGAGGCCAUGUGAGGAGUGAACCAGCAGAUGGAAGAUCUCUCUUUCUCUGUCUCUCCUUCUCCUCUCCCUCUAUAACUCUGACUUUCAAAAUAAAUAAAUAAAUCUUUAAAAAUUAGAUAAAAUAAAAUAAAAUUGAUAUUCUUAAUAUAUUCAAUUCAUAUGUGCCUUCUCCAAAUCUUGAAGAUUUUGGAUUUAUUUUAUUAAUUUAAGAUACUCAAGAAAUAGUUUUCAAAAGCCAUUGAUUGUAUGCCUAUCAUUUGUAUUUUCAUUGGAUUUA